GUGCUCGCUUUGGGAGCACAUGUGCUAAAACUGGAACAAUACGGAGAAGGUUAGCAGGGCCCUGCGGAAGGAUGACGCCCAAAUUCAUCAAACGAUCCAUAGCUUU